GCUUACCUACAGAAAAGCCUCUGCUAGACAGGUAAAAACUUAUUAAAAAGAAAGAAAUGUUGCUUCUUCUUCUGAGGAAUAUAAAAAAGAACAUAGUCGCUCGCUCUUGCUCACUCCCAUAGUCGACCCACUAGGGCCACUAACUUUAACUUCUUUAUUCAUCGAGUGAAAAUAAUGAAAAAGGUUGUGUUGUAAUUAUCUUGAUAUGUUAAGGGUAUGUUGGUGAUAACAGAGUUAGUGGGCACGCUCCGCGUUUGAUGGGAAACCCCACAUUCUAGUGGCAGUGUGUCCUAAAUCCUAACACUAACAGAGAGCCUGAGCCCGAGUGGGAAGUAGCAAGUAUUCAAGAUGGGGCAUUUAAGGGCUGAGUGGGAGGUGGCAAGUGUACAAGAUGGGGCAUUUAAGGCUUGGAUUUGGAAAUAUUGAGGGAGUUGGCUUGUCGUUUUCAAUUUGUUAUAUGCUACAGUUGGGAGAGUUGUACCCUGUCUUUGAAUGAGCUGGCUAUCUUCCUUCUUCUCUUUCCAAAAUCAUCCAAAACAAGAGUUAGAUAGCUACUAAUUAGUCACCACAUAUAUAGAUCCUGUCGAGAAAUUCUUCAACCUAGUUCAGAUUCAGUUGGCUCAAUUAUUUUUUUUUUAUUGUUUUCUUGCAGAACGCAGCAGAAAAGCCUCCGUCCUUUUUACCAAGCUGGACUGCCAUGUAUGUUGUAAACACCUUUGUGGUGGUGUGGGUUUUGGUUGUUGGUUUUGGGUUCGGUGGAUGG
rnacentral:misc_RNA from 1 species